UCGAACGAGAACGGGAUUAAGUUUACUUAAUUUGUCAGCUAAGUGCGCGCACGGGUGAGUAAUGUAUAGUUAACCUGCCCUCGAGAAAGGAAUAACAGUUGGAAACGACUGCUAAUGCCCUAUAUGCCUUUAAGACAUAAGUCUACAAGGGAAAUGCUUUUGUGCUCGAGGAUGGGACUGUAUGGUAUCAGAUAGUUGGUGAGGUAAUGGCUCACCAAGUCAAUGACGCCUAACUGGUUUGAGAGGAUGAUCAGUCACACUGGAACUGAGACACGGUCCAGACUCCUACGGGAGGCAGCAGUGGGGAAUAUUGCACAAUGGAGGAAACUCUGAUGCAGCAACGCCGCGUGGAGGAUGACACUUUUCGGAGCGUAAACUCCUUUUAUAUAGGAAGAUAAUGACGGUACUAUAUGAAUAAGCGCCGGCUAACUCCGUGCCAGCAGCCGCGGUAAUACGGAGGGCGCAAGCGUUACUCGGAAUCACUGGGCGUAAAGAGCGUGUAGGCGGGUUAAUAAGUCAGAAGUGAAAUCCUAUAGCUCAACUAUAGAACUGCUUUUGAAACUGUUAACCUAGAAUAUGGGAGAGGUAGAUGGAAUUUCUGGUGUAGGGGUAAAAUCCGUAGAGAUCAGAAGGAAUACCGA
rnacentral:rRNA from 1 species